AUUGAACGCUGGCGGCAGGCCUAACACAUGCAAGUCGAACGGUAACAGGAAGCAGCUUGCUGCUUUGCUGACGAGUGGCGGACGGGUGAGUAAUGUCUGGGAAACUGCCUGAUGGAGGGGGAUAACUACUGGAAACGGUAGCUAAUACCGCAUAACGUCGCAAGACCAAAGAGGGGGACCUUCUGGCCUCUUGCCCUCGGAUGUGCCCAGAUGGGAUUAGCUAGUAGGUGGGGUAAAGGCUCACCUAGGCGACGAUCCCUAGCUGGUCUGAGAGGAUGACCAGCCACACUGGAACUGAGACACGGUCCAGACUCCUACGGGAGGCAGCAGUGGGGAAUAUUGCACAAUGGGCGCAAGCCUGAUGCAGCCAUGCCGCGUGUAUGAAGAAGGCCUUCGGGUUGUAAAGUACUUUCAGCGGGGAGGAAGGGAGUAAAGUUAAUACCUUUGCUCAUUGACGUUACCCGAAGAAGAAGCACCGGCUAACUCCGUG
rnacentral:rRNA from 1 species